rnacentral:rRNA from 1 species
GCAUAUCAAUAAGCGGAGGAAAAGAAACCAACAGGGAUUGCCCUAGUAACGGCGAGUGAAGCGGCAACAGCUCAAAUUUGAAAUCUGGCUCUCUUUGGGGGUCCGAGUUGUAAUUUGCAGAGGAUGCUUUGGCAUUGGCGGCGGUCUAAGUUCCUUGGAACAGGACAUCACAGAGGGUGAGAAUCCCGUACGUGGUCGCCUGCCCUUGCCGUGUAAAGCUCCUUCGACGAGUCGAGUUGUUUGGGAAUGCAGCUCUAAAUGGGAGGUAAAUUUCUUCUAAAGCUAAAUACUGGCCAGAGACCGAUAGCGCACAAGUAGAGUGAUCGAAAGAUGAAAAGUACUUUGGAAAGAGAGUCAAAAAGCACGUGAAAUUGUUGAAAGGGAAGCGCUUGCAGCCAGACUUGCCCGCAGUUGCUCACCUAGGCUUUCGCCUGGGGCACUCUUCUGCGGGCAGGCCAGCAUCAGUUUGGGCGGUUGGAUAAAGGCCUCUGUCACGUAUCUCCCUUCGGGGUGACCUUAUAGGGGAGGCGCAAUGCAACCAGCCCGGACUGAGGUCCGCGCAUCUGCUAGGAUGCUGGCGUAAUGGCUGUAAGCGGCCCGUCUUGAAACACGGACCAAGGAGUCUAACAUCUAUGCGAGUGUUUGGGUGUCAAGCCCGAGCGCGCAAUGAAAGUGAACGGAGGUGGGAACCCUUUGGGUGCACCAUCGACCGAUCCUGAUGUCUUCGGAUGGAUUUGAGUAAGAGCAUAGCUGUUGGGACCCGAAAGAUGGUGAACUAUGCUUGAAUAGGGUGAAGCCAGAGGAAACUCUGGUGGAGGCUCGCAGCGGUUCUGACGUGCAAAUCGAUCGUCAAAUUUGGGCAUAGGGGCGAAAGACUAAUCGAACCAUCUAGUAGCUGGUUCCUGCCGAU